rnacentral:rRNA from 1 species
AUGCCGCGUGUGUGAAGAAGGCCUGAGGGUUGUAAAGCACUUUCAGUGGGGAGGAGGAUAGCAUGGUUAAGAGCUGAGCUAUUGGACGUUACCUACAGAAGAAGCACCGGCUAACUCCGUGCCAGCAGCCGCGGUAAUACGGAGGGUGCGAGCGUUAAUCGGAAUUACUGGGCGUAAAGGGUGCGUAGGUGGUUAAAUAAGUUAGAUGUAAAAACCCUGGGCUUAACCUAGGACUGAGAUUUAAUACUGUUUAACUAGAGUAUGGGAGAGGGUAGUGGAAUUUCCGGUGUAGCGGUGAAAUGCGUAGAGAUCGGAAGGAACACCAGUGGCGAAGGCGGCUACCUGGCCUAAUACUGACACUGAGGCACGAAAGCGUGGGGAGCAAACAGGAUUAGAUACCCUGGUAGUCCACGCUGUAAACGAUGUCAACUAGCCGU